rnacentral:rRNA from 1 species
AAAUUGAAGAGUUUGAUCAUGGCUCAGAUUGAACGCUGGCGGCAGGCCUAACACAUGCAAGUCGAACGGUAACAGAAAGCAGCUUGCUGCUUUGCUGACGAGUGGCGGACGGGUGAGUAAUGUCUGGGAAACUGCCUGAUGGAGGGGGAUAACUACUGGAAACGGUAGCUAAUACCGCAUAACGUCGCAAGACCAAAGAGGGGGACCUUCGGGCCUCUUGCCAUCGGAUGUGCCCAGAUGGGAUUAGCUUGUUGGUGGGGUAACGGCUCACCAAGGCGACGAUCCCUAGCUGGUCUGAGAGGAUGACCAGCCACACUGGAACUGAGACACGGUCCAGACUCCUACGGGAGGCAGCAGUGGGGAAUAUUGCACAAUGGGCGCAAGCCUGAUGCAGCCAUGCCGCGUGUAUGAAGAAGGCCUUCGGGUUGUAAAGUACUUUCAGCGGGGAGGAAGGGAGUAAAGUUAAUACCUUUACUCAUUGACGUUACCCGCAGAAGAAGCACCGGCUAACUCCGUGCCAGCAGCCGCGGUAAUACGGAGGGUGCAAGCGUUAAUCGGAAUUACUGGGCGUAAAGCGCACGCAGGCGGUUUGUUAAGUCAGAUGUGAAAUCCCCGGGCUCAACCUGGGAACUGCAUCUGAUACUGGCAAGCUUGAGUCUCGUAGAGGGGGGUAGAAUUCCAGGUGUAGCGGUGAAAUGCGUAGAGAUCUGGAGGAAUACCGGUGGCGAAGGCGGCCCCCUGGACGAAGACUGACGCUCAGGUGCGAAAGCGUGGGGAGCAAACAGGAUUAGAUACCCUGGUAGUCCACGCCGUAAACGAUGUCGACUUGGAGGUUGUGCCCUUGAGGCGUGGCUUCCGGAGCUAACGCGUUAAGUCGACCGCCUGGGGAGUACGGCCGCAAGGUUAAAACUCAAAUGAAUUGACGGGGGCCCGCACAAGCGGUGGAGCAUGUGGUUUAAUUCGAUGCAACGCGAAGAACCUUACCUGGUCUUGACAUCCACAGAACCCUGUAGAGAUACGGGGGUGCCUUCGGGAACUGUGAGACAGGUGCUGCAUGGCUGUCGUCAGCUCGUGUUGUGAAAUGUUGGGUUAAGUCCCGCAACGAGCGCAACCCUUAUCCUUUGUUGCCAGCGGUCCGGCCGGGAACUCAAAGGAGACUGCCAGUGAUAAACUGGAGGAAGGUGGGGAUGACGUCAAGUCAUCAUGGCCCUUACGACCAGGGCUACACACGUGCUACAAUGGCGCAUACAAAGAGAAGCGACCUCGCGAGAGCAAGCGGAUCUCAUAAAGUGCGUCGUAGUCCGGAUUGGAGUCUGCAACUCGACUCCAUGAAGUCGGAAUCGCUAGUAAUCGUGGAUCAGAAUGCCACGGUGAAUACGUUCCCGGGCCUUGUACACACCGCCCGUCACACCAUGGGAGUGGGUUGCAAAAGAAGUAGGUAGCUUAACCUUCGGGAGGGCGCUUACCACUUUGUGAUUCAUGACUGGGGUGAAGUCGUAACAAGGUAACCGUAGGGGAACCUGCGGUUGGAUCACCUCCUUACCUUAAAGAAGC